CUGCGAGUGAAGCGGGAAAAGCUCAAAUUUAAAAUCUGGCAGUCUUUGGCUGUCCGAGUUGUAAUCUAGAGAAGCGUUAUCCGCGUUGGACCGUGUACAAGUCUCCUGGAAUGGAGCGUCAUAGAGGGUGAGAAUCCCGUCUUUGACACGGACUACCAAGGCUUUGUGAUGCGCUCUCAAAGAGUCGAGUUGUUUGGGAAUGCAGCUCAAAAUGGGUGGUAAAUUCCAUCUAAAGCUAAAUAUUGGCGAGAGACCGAUAGCGAACAAGUACCGUGAGGGAAAGAUGAAAAGAACUUUGGAAAGAGAGUUAAACAGUACGUGAAAUUGCUGAAAGGGAAACGCUUGAAGUCAGUCGCGUUGUCCAGGGAUCAACCUUGCUUUUGCUUGGUGCACUUUCUGGUUGACGGGUCAGCAUCAAUUUUGACUAUUGGAAAAAGAUUAGGGGAAUGUGGCAUCUUUGGAUGUGUUAUAGCCCUUAGUUGCAUACAAUGGUUGGGAUUGAGGAACUCAGCACGCCGCAAGGCCGGGUUUUUAACCACGUACGUGCUUAGGAUGCUGGCAUAAUGGCUUUAAUCGACCCGUCUUGAAACACGGACCAAGGAGUCUAACAUGCCUGCGAGUGUUUGGGUGGAAAACCCGAGCGCGUAAUGAAAGUGAAAGUUGAGAUCCCUGUCGUGGGGAGCAUCGACGCCCGGACCAGACCUUUUGUGACGGUUCCGCGGUAGAGCAUGUAUGUUGGGACCCGAAAGAUGGUGAACUAUGCCUGAAUAGGGUGAAGCCAGAGGAAACUCUGGUGGAGGCUCGUAGCGAUUCUGACGUGCAAAUCGAUCGUCAAAUUUGGGUAUAGGGGCG
rnacentral:rRNA from 1 species